rnacentral:rRNA from 1 species
AGCAGCCGCGGUAAUUCCAGCUCCAAUAGCGUAUAUUAAAGUUGUUGCAGUUAAAAAGCUCGUAGUUGAAUUUCGGGGUUAGUAGGUUGGUCGUGCCACUGGUAUGUACUGGCUCUACUGAUCCCUCCUUCUUGUAGAACCGUAAUGUCAUUAACUUGGUGUUGCGGGGAAACAGGACUGUUACUUUGAAAAAAUUAGAGUGUUUAAAGCAGGCUAACGCUUGAAUACAUUAGCAUGGAAUAAUGAAAUAGGACGCUCGAUCCUAUUUUGUUGGUUUCUAGGAUUGACGUAAUGAUUAAUAGGGAUAGUUGGGGGCAUUAGUAUUCAAUUGUCAGAGGUGAAAUUCUUGGAUUUAUUGAAGACUAACUACUGCGAAAGCAUUUGCCAAGGAUGUUUUCAUUAAUCAAGAACGAAAGUUAGGGGAUCGAAGACGAUCAGAUACCGUCGUAG